UCUCUCUCUCUCUCUUUAAAUUUUAAUGAGAGAAUUUAUUGGACAUUUGCAAUGUGCUCAUGUUAGUAUAUAUUGGGUUUGUUGCAGCAACUUUGCUUAUUGAUUUAGGUAAUAUUGGAUUGAUAUCAUUGAAUUAAAUUUAAGUAAGAGUUAAAACUAUAGAUAGUUUUGAAUAAAUUAUAUAUCAAAGCAAUUAAACUAUUAAGUGGACAAAAUUCAUUGAAUCAAACAUAAAGGUGAAAUGAUUUGAGAAGUGAAAUAGAAAUAACCAAGAACAAAUAAGGUAAAUGAAGGAAAUUAUUAAUAUAUAAAUGUUACAAAAUUCUACUGUAUGUGUUUUUGGUUGGUUCUCACUUCGUUAUUAGCUUUAUGGGUAUUUUUAUUUCGUUUUUUAUUUCUUUUUGUUUAAAUAAAUCCUUUCCAUACAAUUAUACUACAGUUUUUAAAAGACAAAUUUGCUCUCAACACUCUUUGCUGUUAUAUUUCCAUUAAAAGAAAUUGUCGGUUAGGUCAGUAGAUGCAUACCCAAGAGAGAGAGAAUUGUAUCGUAAUCGAUCCUGAAAGAGACUUAGUUGAACAUAGAAAAGAGAAAAAGGAAGGAAAAUACAAAAACAGUUAGAGCUGGACAUUUGUAUUGAGAAGUAUGUGUGUAUAUAUGUUCGUGAUUGUAUUGAGAGAGUGAGAGUAAAUAGAAAUGUAGAUCUAACCUAUUUCCCCUCCCG
rnacentral:misc_RNA from 1 species